ensembl:miRNA
ACAUGUCCAAGCUCUGCGUGUGUGUAUGUAGAUAUACAUACACACACACACACACACACACACACACACACACACACACAUAU